rnacentral:rRNA from 1 species
AACUAACAAGGAUUCCCCUAGUAACUGCGAGUGAAGCGGGAAAAGCUCAAAUUUAAAAUCUGGCAGUCUUUGGCUGUCCGAGUUGUAAUCUAGAGAAGCAUUAUCCGCGCUGGACCGUGUACAAGUCUCCUGGAAUGGAGCGUCAUAGAGGGUGAGAAUCCCGUCUUUGACACGGACUGCCAGGGCUUUGUGAUGUGCUCUCAAAGAGUCGAGUUGUUUGGGAAUGCAGCUCAAAAUGGGUGGUAAAUUCCAUCUAAAGCUAAAUAUUGGCGAGAGACCGAUAGCGAACAAGUACCGUGAGGGAAAGAUGAAAAGAACUUUGGAAAGAGAGUUAAACAGUACGUGAAAUUGCUGAAAGGGAAACGCUUGAAGUCAGUCGCGUUGGCCAGGAAUCAACCUUGCUUUUUUUUUGCUUGGCUUACUUCCUGGUCGAUGGGUCAGCAUCAAUUUUGACUGGUGGAAAAAGUUCAAGGGAAUGUGGCAUCUUCGGAUGUGUUAUAGCCUUUGCUCGCAUACAUCAGUUGGGAUUGAGGAACUCAGCACGCCGCAAGGCCGGGUUUUUAACCACGUACGUGCUUAGGAUGCUGGCAUAAUGGCUUUAAUCGACCCGUCUUGAAACACGGACCAAGGAGUCUAACAUGCCUGCGAGUGUUUGGGUGGAAAACCCGAGCGCGUAAUGAAAGUGAAAGUUGAGAUCCCU